GAUGAACGCUGGCGGCGUGCCUAAUACAUGCAAGUCGAGCGAACGGACGAGAAGCUUGCUUUUCUGAUGUUAGCGGCGGACGGGUGAGUAACACGUGGAUAACCUACCUAUAAGACUGGGAUAACUUCGGGAAACCGGAGCUAAUACCGGAUAAUAUUUUGAACCGCAUGGUUCAAGAGUGAAAGACGGUCUUGCUGUCACUUAUAGAUGGAUCCGCGCUGCAUUAGCUAGUUGGUAAGGUAACGGCUUACCAAGGCAACGAUGCAUAGCCGACCUGAGAGGGUGAUCGGCCACACUGGAACUGAGACACGGUCCAGACUCCUACGGGAGGCAGCAGUAGGGAAUCUUCCGCAAUGGGCGAAAGCCUGACGGAGCAACGCCGCGUGAGUGAUGAAGGUCUUCGGAUCGUAAAACUCUGUUAUUAGGGAAGAACAUAUGUGUAAGUAACUGUGCACAUCUUGACGGUACCUAAUCAGAAAGCCACGGCUAACUACGUG
rnacentral:rRNA from 1 species